UAGGGAAUCUUCGGCAAUGGACGAAAGUCUGACCGAGCAACGCCGCGUGAGUGAAGAAGGUUUUCGGAUCGUAAAACUCUGUUGUUAGAGAAGAAAAAGGAUGAGAGUAGAAUGUUCAUCCCUUGACGGUAUCUAACCAGAAAGCCACGGCUAACUACGUGCCAGCAGCCGCGGUAAUACGUAGGUGGCAAGCGUUGUCCGGAUUUAUUGGGCGUAAAGCGAGCGCAGGCGGUUUCUUAAGUCUGAUGUGAAAGCCCCCGGCUCAACCGGGGAGGGUCAUUGGAAACUGGGAAACUUGAGUGCAGAAGAGGAGAGUGGAAUUCCAUGUGUAGCGGUGAAAUGCGUAGAUAUAUGGAGGAACACCAGUGGCGAAGGCGGCUCUCUGGUCUGUAACUGACGCUGAGGCUCGAAAGCGUGGGGAGCAAACAGG
rnacentral:rRNA from 1 species